UAGGGAAUCUUCCACAAUGGGCGCAAGCCUGAUGGAGCAACACCGCGUGAGUGAAGAAGGGUUUCGGCUCGUAAAACUCUGUUGUUGAAGAAGAACGUGCGUGAGGGUAACUGUUCACGCAGUGACGGUAUUCAACCAGAAAGUCACGGCUAACUACGUG
rnacentral:rRNA from 1 species